rnacentral:lncRNA from 13 species
UUAUAUUUACCCCAAGGUUGCUCCGCUGGGGCCCGAUGCCUCUCCCAGGCCUCCUCCUCCUCUCAGUCCUCCAAGUAGUUAAGCUUCUUCCUUUCGUUGCACACGCGAAACACUCGUGAACAAUAUAUUAAAUUUGCGCGCGUGGACUAAUUAUUUAUUAAGUUUUUCGCGUAAUACUGCGGCAUUUCGGGUUUAUAAAACCCAUGAUAUGAGUUCCCAUUCAGAGGGAUUCCCGUGGAUUCAGCACCCCGAGUCGGCACGUAGAACGCACGCGUACCCGCCCCCGAACAAGGGCCCAGCCAACGGAUCAUCUUAAUCAGUCCCACUGGAUCUUAUAUCCAAGCGGCGUCGACAAGACACUCGGGCAGGACGAGAAAAGAAGGUACUCAUUGCCGACGUUUAGCAUUUUAGACGAAUCAGGAAAUGAGAGCCAGCCUCUCGUCACAAGCUUAACCUACAAGGCCAGGUUCUGACCAAGUCAGAUUAAACGUGAUUCACCUAGCUCGAACCCCAGAUCCAAA